GGACCCGACUGCUAUCAGAGUGGGAAUAAGCCCUGCGAGUCAACAUAGCAAUAUGUGGCAUACGGGUCAGUAACACGUAGUCAACAUGCCCAGGGGACGUGGAUAACCUCGGGAAACUGAGGAUAAACCGCGAUAGGUCAUCACUUUUGGAAUGGGUAAUGACUUAAAUUUAUAUGGCCCCUGGAUUGGACUGCGGCCGAUCAGGCUGUUGGUGAGGUAAUGGCCCACCAAACCUGUAACCGGUACGGGCUUUGAGAGGAGGAGCCCGGAGAUGGGCACUGAGACAAGGGCCCCGGCCCUAUGGGGCGCAGCAGGCGCGAAACCUUUGCAAUAGGGGAAAGCUUGACAGGGUUACUUUGAGUGAUUUCCGUUAAGGAGAUCUUUUGGCACCUCUAAAAAUGGUGCAGAAUAAGGGGUGGGCAAGUUUGGUGU
rnacentral:rRNA from 1 species